CCUGUCCCCACCUCCCGGCGGUCUCCGGAGGACGCGAGCCUGCGGAUGCAAGCGGAUUCCGCAGCGCCGUCUGCGCGGACAGCCGUGCUCUCUGGGCCUCCUUCCCGGCCCUCCCUGAGCCCCGCUGCCGGCUCUUCGGCGUGAUUAAUUUUCUAUUUCUGCCCAGUGUGUGCCUUCUCUGUGAAGAUGUGCAGGGUUUUCCAGAACACUGUGAUCCCUGUAUUCAAAACCACUAGAACAUACUGCGGAAGCACUCUUGUAAGCCCAGCCACACAGUGCCGCCGUUCGUGCCUGUGUAUUCCUCCGGUUUCGCCCUCUCACUCUUGGAUGGCUCCCCGAACUUCGGUUUGUCUGCCCGACUAGACUGUGGGCAAUUUGAGGGCAGGACUUCAUCUCAGACGUUUAAACCUCCUUAACACACUUGUGCAAAAUAGGAGUUCAGUAAGCGUUUGUCAACCGAUGGUGUUAAAGCUUGUGGCCUCAGGCGCCUCGGUGUUUGGCUCCGAAGUUGAAACUUGCUUUAGCUUAGACGUUGCCUUUAUGCAGUAAAUAUCUUUUUUAUGUAAUAAAUGGAAAUUAACAUCUCAAAA